CCAAUGGGUUCUGUACAGUAGAUUUUGC
rnacentral:piRNA from 1 species